GACGAACGCUGGCGGCGUGCCUAAUACAUGCAAGUAGGACGCUGAAGGAGGAGCUUGCUUCUCUGGAUGAGUUGCGAACGGGUGAGUAACGCGUAGGUAACCUGCCUGGUAGUGGGGGAUAACUAUUGGAAACGAUAGCUAAUACCGCAUAAUAGCAGUUGUUGCAUGAUAACUGUUUGAAAGGUGCAAUUGCACCGCUACCAGAUGGACCUGCGUUGUAUUAGCUAGUUGGUGGGGUAACGGCUCACCAAGGCGACGAUACAUAGCCGACCUGAGAGGGUGAUCGGCCACACUGGGACUGAGACACGGCCCAGACUCCUACGGGAGGCAGCAGUAGGGAAUCUUCGGCAAUGGACGGAAGUCUGACCGAGCAACGCCGCGUGAGUGAAGAAGGUUUUCGGAUCGUAAAGCUCUGUUGUAAGAGAAGAACGAGUGUGAGAGUGGAAAGUUCACACUGUGACGGUAUCUUACCAGAAAGAGACGGCUAACUACGUG
rnacentral:rRNA from 1 species